UCAGGUGGCCGCAGAGAAUAGGCCCAAGCGACUGUUUACCAAAAACAUAGGUUUCUGCUAAGUCGCAAGACGAUGUAUAGGAGCUGACGCCUGCCCGGUGCUGGAAGGUUAAGGGGAUCUGUUAGAGCAAUCGAAGCAGUGAACUUAAGCCCCAGUAAACGGCGGCCGUAACUAUAACGGUCCUAAGGUAGCGAAAUUCCUUGUCGGGUAAGUUCCGACCCGCACGAAAGGCGUAACGAUUUGGGCACUGUCUCAACAACAGACUCGGUGAAAUUGUAAUUCCGGUGAAGAUGCCGGAUACCUGCGACAGGACGGAAAGACCCCAUGGAGCUUUACUGUAGCUUGACAUUGGGUCUUGGUACUACAUGUACAGGAUAGGUGGGAGGCUUUGAAACCAGGACGCCAGUUUUGGCGGAGCCAUCCUUGGGAUACCACCCUUGUAGUACUGGGACUCUAACCAUAGGCCAUGAAUCUGGUCUUGGGACACUGUCAGGUGGGCAGUUUGACUGGGGCGGUCGCCUCCCAAAAGGUAACGGAGGCGCUCAAAGGUUCUCUCAGUACGGUCGGAAAUCGUACGUAGAGUGUAAAGGCAAAAGAGAGCUUGAUUGCAAGACAUACAGGUCGAGCAAGGAUGAAAAUCGGACUUAGUGAUCCGGUGGUUC
rnacentral:rRNA from 1 species